CCAUUCCGCGACCGCGAGCUCAUCUCGCGCAUGGUGGAAGCCUGUGGUGGCAGCGCGGUCAGCUGCAAAGACAGGAUGACAUCAAGUUUAUUCAACAUCAGAGGUGCAGGGAAAGUGUAAUUGCAGUUAUGUGCCACACGGGGGGGGGGCAAAGUUAACAUGCGUAAGGGGGAGACCCAUGCAAAAGAAUGUCACUGUAACAAAAUUCCAGCGUCCAGUGGUUCAAAGUGCUGCGAUAAUGUGACAAAGAAGCACAAACGCAAGUUACAGGCAGUUAUAUGCAAGUACCAAUAAGUGCAAAACAGGUGUCAAUAUUUUGUGAUAGCAUAAAAACAAAUUGUACCAAUAAUAAAUAAGCAUCAACUAAUUUAAGUAAUUAAUGACAACAUAUGGCGCGAUUUCGAUCUUUACAAUGUUUACCCCGGAACGUCCAAGUCCAAUUCCACAUCAAGAAAAAUUAGAACAACUUGUUCACCUUUAUUUCUGGCCUGGGUUACUGCAGUCAUACGAAAAAGGGAAAGAAAACGCUACUUGAGCAAAAAGUUUAUAAGUACAAUAACUAAUUAUUUAUUAGAUGGUUUCCUGAACUGUCCACAACAAUAAUUCAAUGUAUUGGAAAUGCUAUUAUGGGCUUUAUGUUAAGUGUAGUAAGCUUAAAUAUGAAUCUUGUGGUAUAAAACAUGGCGUAUCAAAAAUAAUAUGUUGGGCUAUGUGGGUUUACAUUGACUUCACUCGCUGGAUGCAAACUUUUAAUGCAGAUAAGCAAAUAGAUGGUCACUGCCAUCCACAGUCUAAUUAAAGUUGUCAUUUGGACUUUGCAUGUACUUUUUUUCCCCUUUUUGUUGCCUUGCUCUUCUCUCUGCCACUGUGACUUGUAUUCAUUCAUUGUAUUCUUUUGCCAACAGUGUGAAAAAUCGUAGACUCAUGAUUUUACCAUCCUGUAAAAGCUGGUGUAGUAUGUCUAAGUAAAUAGAUAAGUUCAGGGAUGGAGGAACUGCUGAACUCUGCUGAUUUCCUAAUCUUUUGCCCUGCCUUCCUCUGUUUGCUUCGUUUUCACCUUUAUCAUCUCUAAACCUUGGAGCUGGCUUCAUAGGUCAGUCUUAUUUGCCCAUCAAUAAGUUUGGUUGAAUUAUUUGGGUUAGGGGAUCUGAAAGGAGUAGCAAGAAGGAGACAGAGGCAGUGGAUCCUUUAUGCAAUUCAUUGCGUCAUCAAAUACAUCUUUAGUUUAAAAUAAAAAAUUUAUGUGUGUUACUAAAGGUAAUCCAUAAAGUCACACACAAAAAGAAGGAAAAAAAUCUUCAGUGAGUUGGUAAAAGUGCCAUUUCAUGAAUGGACAAAGACGUUAGUGGAGAUAAAUGUAAAAGAAAAAUCGUAUUUUGAAAGAAAACUGAUAGGUAAACCUCGAUAUAACAAAAUUCUCGAUAUAACGAUUUAACUUUUUAUAACCUCUUGUCCAAAGAACACUAUGUAUCAGAACCCCAAUAUAGCGAAGUGUGUUGGUAUGCGAUUUCAUUAUAACGAAAUUUCGCUGCCGCCGCAAAGGAAUGCUGAGACAACAUAAAUGUAAACUUCCGCGGACGCAGAUAGCCAAAUGAUUGAAUUACAAGCGGCUGCUUGCAAACGCACCUCAAAUCGCGCUCCGCGCGACGAGAGCGACCGCCCAAGUGGAGCCGCUUCAUGUUCCGUAUUAAAGUCCAAGCGCGAUAAGGCGCUAUCGCGCCCCGCGCACCGUGUGCUUUAGGUGCGAGUUAGAGUGUGCGAGAGAGAGGCAGGAAAGAUGGUGGCUUCACGAGUGACGCCUUCCCGCGUGAGCAAAGUGAAAGAGGGAGGGGAGCUCGCUCGCGAUAACGCGAUCAAGCGCGCGCUAGGGGUAAGUUGGCGCGCGUGUCGGCCGUGAAUGCGCGCGGCUGUAAGCGCGGAUGAGCGCAUUCACAGCCGCGCAUCCUGCUUUAAAGGUUAUCUGCCGCGUGCACAAAGAGUGGGCGUGCCGAGACGACGGCAUGGCACCAUGUAAGCCAUCUUCCCGUGCGUUUAGUGUUGGAGGUUGCGUAAUCUCUUGUUCCGGUGACCCGUAGGAGCGAGAGGCAGCCGAAGCGUUCCCUCCCCGCUGCCGGCGCUUUUCCUGAUAGCGUCGUCCCAGUGCGGGCGACGCUAUCAGCCGCGAGGGCGGAGGGCACGUGAAAGCGUGCCUGGCUUCGCUCAAUUCGUACCGCCGAUGUGAAUAUAUACCGUCGACGCACGUGGCAUGAAAUCGUAUCAUUCGUCGCCGACUCCCAAGUUUAUCAAAAUGAAUUGUUUUCUCGUUCAAUUUUGCUUUUUUCGAUUGCCCGAUAUAAUUCGGAAAAUUCUGCGCCCCCUUUCCGUUUCGAUCGGUGACUGCACUUAUUUGCAUAAAGGGUCGAAUUUCAAUGCAACGAAAUUUCAAUAUAACGAAGCAAAUUGCCGAUUUUACCUAUUUCGUUAUAUCGAGGUUUAACUGCAUAUGCUUGUAAAAUAAAAGCCUGAGGUACCAGCUCAAGUGAAAAGUCUAAUGGACCAUGUACAAUGUGGUGCCUGUGAUCAGCAAGAACACCUAAAAAUUGUGCAGGCCAACGGCUCCUUACCAAAAAUUAGCUGACAAAUUAAACAAUUUCAAUUGUGUUUUCAUUCAACUAUUGUUAAAAAGCAAACCAACAAGAGAAGUGUACUCUGGAAGAGAUAAGCUUGAAGCUUACUGGUAUUUAAGAAAAUGUUCAUACCAUAUUUCUGCUGUUUAAUUUCUUUACGAAAGUGACGGAACAAAAGGAUGAAAAAAAUUUUGGUAACAGCACGUCUUCUCCAACUCGUCACUUCUGUCAUCGAUUCAGCAUCUCCAAGUGACUGCGCUUCCUUUGUACCUGUUAAACAGUGCAGCUUCUUGGAAUGAAUCAGGAAUGCAGUGUUUUGCAUCAAUAUCUAUGCCGCCGUCAUAAAGGUAUAGCGCAAUCACAUGGAAGUUGGGAGGAGGGGUACGUACUGAGGCACACAGCAUUCACCGCACUAAAGUCUGCACUUGCUGUAUAUUCCACAGGAACGAAUUUCAUCAGAAAAUUAUUCAUUGUAGGUUGUUUGUAACAGGUGUACAUCUGGUCAGUAAAUAUUUUUAUUCUCACUUUUA